UUUCCGUAGGUGAACCUGCGGAAGGAUCAUUAAUGUGUUUGGGCCUCACGGCUCUUCAUUCCGACGCUGUGCGCCUUCGGGCUGCACGCUGAGGGAACAUAUAUCCACCCCUGUGCACACACACGGUGGCGAGCUGGGUAACGGCUCGCCGCUGAUCUUUACACACGUCUAAAAGUCAUUGUAUGGUUAUUUGAGAUAAAAACACAACUUUCAGCAACGGAUCUCUUGGCUCUC
rnacentral:misc_RNA from 1 species